AGAGGAGAUGACAGGUCCUGGUUUAUAGAGGAGAUGACAGGUCCUGGUUUAUAGAGGAGAUGACAUGUCCUGGUUUAUAGAGGAGAUGACAGGUCCUGGUUUAUAGAGGAGAUGACAGGUCCUGGUUUGUAGAGGAGAUGACAGGUCCUGGUUUGUAGAGGAGAUGACAGGUCCUGGUGUAGAGGAGAUGACAGGUCCUGGUGUAGAGGAGAUGACAUGUCCUGGUUUGUAGAGGAGAUGACAGGUCCUGGUGAAGAGGAGAUGACAGGUCCUGGUUUAUAGAGGAGAUGACAGGUCCUGGUGUAGAGGAGAUGACAGGUCCUGGUGUAGAGGAGAUGACAGGUCCUGGUGUAGAGGAGAUGACAGGUCCUGGUGUAGAGGAGAUGACAGGUCCUGGUGUAGAGGAGAUGACAGGUCCUGGUGUAGAGGAGAUGACAGGUCCUGGUUUGUAGAGGAGAUGACAGGUCCUGGUGAAGAGGAGAUGACAGGUCCUGGUUUGUAG